AUGGAGUUGCACAAUAGGGGCUCAGGGGCUCACUGUGGCAUUCAUAAAACCUUGGAUGCAGUGAGCAGAAGGUUUUAUUGGCCAGGAAUGUCUGUGGACAUUAAAAAAUGGAUAACGCAUUGUGCAGCUUGCCAGCAAAAACAACGUUCUCUAAAGAACCAAACCCAAUAUACCCCAAUUGAGGUGGCAGAGCCAUGGGAGAUUGUGGGUAUGGACUUGGUGGGAAAGCUCACACCAACAAAAGAUGGUUACCAGUACAUUUGCGUUAU